UUUAAAUGUAAAUAUUAAAAAUAUUACAGUAAGUCGCAAAAGCCGUUGCUUUUUUUUGCAUAAAGAUAAGGCUACAUCCUUGUGACGCAUUUAGUAGAAAUCCCAUACAAAAGUAGUUUUUUCUAAAAACCAAUAAUUAGGUUUUUUUUCAAAUUUCAAUGAUUCAUGUGUCAAGGCUUGACUAUUAUAGUAGAGUGAUUGUUUUGACAGAAAACUGAGACACGCCCAACAAAAUAACUACUCUGAUAAGAAAGUUUUGUCAUUAAUGUCACAUUCCGCUGCCCCGUAUCACCACUGUUGAUGAUUCAAAACCUAAAGAAUUGAAAGUGAAAUCUUGAACAGCUAACGAAUGUUGUUGCAUUUAGGACAAGCAUGUGUUUAAAUUUUGCAAUCAAGGCUUAAAUGCCAAUAACUAAUUAAUGAAGCUAUUAAGAGAAGUCAAAAAAAAAAUUUAUAUAAAAAAAAUAUAUAUUCUUAAAGGUG